rnacentral:rRNA from 1 species
UCUGGCCUCAAAUCAGG